UACGAAGGGGGCUAGCGUUGCUCGGAAUCACUGGGCGUAAAGCGCACGUAGGUGGCUUUUUAAGUCAGGGGUGAAAUCCUGGAGCUCAACUCCAGAACUGCCUUUGAUACUGAGAAGCUUGAGUCCGGGAGAGGUGAGUGGAACUGCGAGUGUAGAGGUGAAAUUCGUAGAUAUUCGCAAGAACACCAGUGGCGAAGGCGGCUCACUGGCCCGGUACUGACGCUGAGGCACGAAAGCGUGGGGAGCAAACAGG
rnacentral:rRNA from 1 species